rnacentral:lncRNA from 1 species
UAUUGUAGAGUGUCGUGCUCUCUUCGAUGUUGACUAUUUUCGGCUGGAUACAAUGAUUCAGUUGUAUCAGGAGAGAAGCAACCAGUCUAUUGGCAUGAGAUAUUGCGGGGUGGAGAUGGGAUUAGCCUAAGAUCUGUCAGGUGAGAUUUUUGGACUUAAAGAUCAAGUCUGCUAUAAUUUGCAUGAGAAGCAUUGGACAAAAGUUAUCCACCCAUUGGUUGACAUAUUCAUCAAGAUCUAUUAGGUGAGGUGGUAUGCCAAUCUAUGGGACUGCAGUAUCCACUAGGAACCUUAAUUCGUGAAGAAAUUUUUUCUUUCCAACCCGAGG